rnacentral:lncRNA from 1 species
UCUGGCUUAAGUUAAUUUUCUGAGGAAAGGAAACCAUUCAGAUAAAGCAGGGCAAUUACUGACAGAAAUCUAUGCCUGAAUAAUCAUACUCACAAGACAGCAACAAAGCUACAAUCUAGACAUGCACGCAUGUUCAGUGUGGGGAGAGAGAGAGAGAGAGAGAGAGAGUAUACCAGAGGGGAUAACAUUGUCAUUAAAUCGAGACAGAGAGAGGAAUGAACUGAGUCUGGUUCCUCUUGCCAAUGCAGCCAGUAUGGUGUUUAUAUAAGCCUUUACACAUGGAAGGUUGCCUGAGCAGAAAGAACAUGCAAGGCACUGGUAUUUUGAUGGGUUCUUUUCGCACUCUUGACAUAGAAGAGCUUGUUGCUUCGCAUGUGGGUUGCCUAGUUUUUCUUCCUCUUCUUGUAUCUCAAGCAAAUAUGAGAGAGCUGAGAAGAAUAGAUUUUGGAAUUUUUAAGAAUAAUGGGAUAAUAAGAAGAUGUAUGAUGAUUUCAAUACAAAAGAACAACAAAACCUAGUCAAGAAUGGAAUAGGUGAU